CCUACGGGAGGCAGCAGUGGGGAAUUUUGGACAAUGGGCGCAAGCCUGAUCCAGCCAUUCCGCGUGCAGGAUGAAGGCCUUCGGGUUGUAGACUGCUUUUGUACGGAACGAAACGGUGAGCUCUAAUACAGUUUGCUAAUGACGGUACCGUAAGAAUAAGCACCGAGCUAACUACGUGCCAGCAGCCGCGGUAAU
rnacentral:rRNA from 1 species